GAUGAACGCUAGCGGCAGGCUUAAUACAUGCAAGUCGAACGGGAUUUAGGAGCUUGCUUCUAAUGAGAGUGGCGCACGGGUGAGUAACACGUACACAAUCUACCUUGUACAGGGGGAUAGCCUUGGGAAACUGAGAAUAAUACCCCAUAGUUUUAAUUUAUCGCAUGAUAGAUUAAAUAAAGCUGAGGCGGUACAAGAUGAGUGUGCGGAUGAUUAGGUAGUUGGUAGGGUAACGGCCUACCAAGCCGACGAUCAAUAGCUGGCGUGAGAGCGCGACCAGCCACACUGGAACUGAGACACGGUCCAGACUCCGUACGGGAGGCAGCAGGUAAGGGAAUAGUUGGAACAAGUGGGGACGGAACGCCUGA
rnacentral:rRNA from 1 species